CCUGAGAAACCCGAAAGAUCGAAUGGGGAGAUUCAUCAUCAGCGACAUUGGCUUCGUGGGCGGUUCGCGAUGCGCGCACGCGUCUCUCCUCGCGGGAGUUCGCGUCGCGGCGCACGUGUCCCCUAUGUUUAUGUCCGAUGUCGUCGGCGUGCACUUCUCCUCUAGUAGGACGUCGCGACCCGUUGGGUGUCGGUCUACGGCCCGGGUAGUUGCCUGUCCCGCCGCUUCGGCGUCGCGGGGCAGACCCUCGGUGCGCAUACAACCCGACCGGCUGCCCGGCGGUAAUCGCACGGUACUCUGGCCGCAAACUUUGUCGAACUGCGUCCAUGGCUCGCCGCAAGCGCGAUCAGUGUAUACUCGGAGUGUACGGACCUGGUGCCGUCGCCGAGCCUGAUCCGCUGUUCGCUGGCUGAUGUCCUCGGACAGGCUAUCGGUUUUUCCUCGCGAAAAACCGGCUGAUGUACCGGUCGGCGACGCUAUUGCUUUGGGUACUUUCAGG
rnacentral:rRNA from 1 species